UAUCAGCCGAAACCAGCAAGAAAAACAGAGCAACCAUUCACCUGCCGACCUCUCUCUCCUCAGGCCACCUCAAGACGUCGGACCACCUCCAGUAGCUUCGCCUAGACCUUGCGCAGCCGCCGGUGGCAUCCUUGCGCCGCAACAUGGACUGUAGUGACGGCGGAGGACCUGGCUCCGUUUGAGCCGAUUUCGAAUCAAUCUCAAUAUCUUGAGCUACAAGCCACCAAUACUCUUGAUUCUUGGCUCAUAUGAUUCGCAUCAACUUUCUGAACAAGCACCAAGAAGAACCAGACCUGAAUCGACCAUUUUCACGUUCGUCGGAGCUCGACCGGUUUUUGAUCGAAAAUCAAAACCUUUCGAUCGUGAUAUCUCGAGUUGUAGUGCAUCGUUUUGAUUGAUUCUUGAACCAGUGGGUUUGCCUUGAUGUUCUUAACAACUCUCUAGAAGGAAUCGAGGCCUGAAAUUGAAGUUUUUACGUCGAAACUCAAGCUCGCCGGAUUCUGGAAUUUUUCCGACCACCGAAGCUUUCGAUCGGUAUAUCUCGAGCUACAGACCAUAUUUUUCUGUGAUUCUUGAACCAAUGAGUUCACCUUGAGUUUCUUAACAACUCUCUAGAAGGGAUCGAAGCCUGAAAUUGAAGUUUUGACGUCGAAAUCAAGCCUUGCCGGAUUCUGCAAAUUUCGCCGGAUUCUGGAAAUUUCCGGCCACCUCGACUGUUUUAGGUGAUUGACGGUCUUCCUUGGGUGAGCGGUUUCGGUGUGUAUUGUGUUGAAUUGAAGACGCAGCGGGAAUAUCGAGCGGGUAAUCCUGCAGGUCAGGAGAAUCAGGGCGGUGAUCGAGCGGGUUAGAGUAUUUGUUAUAGUUUUACAGCAUUUGUAAUAGUGAGGUGAGUUAAGCUCAUUGAGCCUUAGAAUUUGAUUUGGUGAGAGUGUGUUGUAAUAAUUAACUUGAGGAUUUGAUUUAUUGUAAUAUUGAGAGGUGUGAAGUGUGGUUGUUUUGAGAAAAAAAUUCAGGUUGUAUUUAUGUGAGUUGUAUUAAUUCAUG